rnacentral:rRNA from 1 species
UACGGAGGGGGCGAGCGUUAUUCGGAAUUAUUGGGCGUAAAGGGCGCGUAGGCGGCUUGACAAGUCAAAGGUGAAAUCCCUCGGCUCAACUGAGGAACUGCCUUUGAAACUGUCUGGCUUGAGGCCGGGAGGGGGUAGCGGAAUUCCCAGUGUAGCGGUGAAAUGCGUAGAUAUUGGGAGGAACACCAGUGGCGAAGGCGGCUACCUGGACCGGUUCUGACGCUGAGGCGCGAAAGCGUGGGGAGCAAACGGG